rnacentral:tRNA from 1 species
AAGAGAGAAGCAUGUUGGUUAUGUGACUAGUUUGAAACUAGUAGAAGGGGGUUCGAUUCUUCCCUCUCUUG